ACGAAUCUAGUAUACCCUUUUACUCCACGAGUAACGGGUAUAAAAAUCUCCAUUGUUUUCGGCUCAACUUAUUAGGUUUGACCACUAAACUAUUACUAUUAAAUAAAAGUAUACAUUAAUUUUAUAUACAUUUUAUUUUAUAAAAUUUUAAACAAGUGGGCAUUUUAAAUACUAAAGGACUUUGUUUAGGCAUUAUUUAAUAGUUGGUAUACCCACCAUUUCAAAUAUACGGUUUGGUAAGGAAUCAUAAAAUUUUUAAAAACAAUUAUUGGCCAGGUUUUAUUUAUUGCUUCAACUAGAGUAUAAGGGUCACUAAAUUGUCUUCCUCCUUCGUAUACUGUCCUUGACAAGAGUCCCCCAAUGUUUUCGAUAAGGUUGAUGCUGGGGGUGUAAGGCGGCCACUCGAGCAAUUUGACAUUCUGAUAAUGUUUUACAACCCAAGCGGUAUGGAUGGGAGCGUUGUCAUGUUGGAACGUCCAUGGAAUAUGAUCAUAAAUAUGAUCUCAGAAAUCGGUGGAAAAGCCUUUUGGAGUACUUGUACGCAUUUGCGUUCAUUUUCACAUUGUCAAACUGAAGCAAAAUACUGAGUUACCGCUGCACUAUAAUGAGAUACAAAUAAUGGUUCAACAUAAAAAAAAAUCACAAAAAAAAAGCAUUUGAAACGAGGUGAGAUGGAAAAAUGUCAAAUAAGUUUUUCAAAACUAUUUAGUUGAGCGGCACUGUACUUUAUUAUCAAUCGUAUUAUUAUAAUAUCAAAAUAAUUUUUAAAAAGACUUAUUUGUACCCUUACAAUGAUAUAUGUUUGGAAACAUGUUAGUGCACGAAAUCGGAGAAAACUAAUGUAAUAAAUAAUUCGGUGUCAAUCAUCAGCUUCUGUCAAAAUACUACUAACAAGGAUUCAUUUUUGCCUAAAGAUUUAAUUAUUAGUCUUAAGCAUGCAGAUGAAAUACGCCUACUUAGUUUAAUUUAGUUUCAGAACGACUGCACGCACACUCUAUCACUUCCACAAUUGUCAGGAAUGGCUUGGAGUUUGAUUUUAUAAUAUUUUGGCCAGUUUUCAUCAGUAUGCCAAAAGCAUGUUGAAAUUUCUCAGUCACACUCACUCCCACUAGAUAAAUAACUUGUAUCUAAUAGUCGAGGAACUCGACAAUCAUUCUGUUUCGUUUUAAAAGUUAUUCAAUUUUUAGCCGGGUAGCAUAUUUUACAAUUUGAAGUGUUAAUCUUUACCUAAAUUAAAGCAUGCGCUUUGAGCACCGUCAAGUCCUAGAACUCAAUUUGAACUACAACAAGACCAGCUAAAAACUUUUAAUUUCUUUUUCGAACUAAAAGUCGAGCAGGUUUAUACUAAGAUACCAGCCAUCUAGCUUUCAAGCGGUUUGAGGCAGCCAUAAAGGCAGCCGGAUGAUAAGGCAACUGCCAUUUUCCAACCCCGGUCUUCACGCCAUGUACACGCACUCCCGAAUGGUAAUUCCGAAUAUCGUCUUAGUACUAUCUUUGCCAUCUUUUUGGGAAACUGGCUUUUCAUAAAGCAUGGAAAGGUCGCGUGCUGAUUGACGUUUGGAUGUCAGUGGAAAAAACCUGCUUCACGAAAAGCGAAUAGGCGACUAACACUACCGGAAUUUCAAAAUCUUUUAGAUUACAUUUUAAUUUCAUCUUUACGUUGCCCAUCUUCCACCUCCAUCAACGGUUAGUGGCCACCAUUUAGUUUUCCCGGAGUUUUUGCUGUUCCAGAUACGCGCCAGGAAACUUUUGCUUGCAGAAAAAUAAUUUGGGUCUGAAAGUCGGCGCCUCGCUCUGGUUACCAUCGACACAAAUUUAGCGAGUGAGCUUUGACAGCCCCCAAAAGUUGGGCAUUGCUUGACAAUGUUUGCCGGAGCAGAGCCCGGAAUUUUUAAUGCAAGAGCAAACUUCUGCGCUUGUGAUAAUGUUGCAAUUUGCAAAUAGUAUAUAAAUCUGGCUAAUAGUUGCUGGGCCAGAUUUAAUGACAUAGAAAUUAACUGUUAACUAUUUCCCAAUCGCUCGUUAGUUUACUCAUCAUUAUGCUAACAACGUCCUUGUGCCUGAAGAACCAUCCGACUAAUGCACUUGAACACGUCUUUUGGAUCCCCUUUGCCUGGAGUGUCAGCUGUCAGCUAAAAACGAACUGCGCGUUAUUUGCAUAAUCAUUAAAUGGUGAACGCCGCAACAAGCUUUAUUACGAUUGGAACACAAUAAGAAGUGGCCUAUAAUCAUAAAGAAAGCAAGUUAUUCACUGCCUCGGGUUCCGGGCCAGGAUGUGUAUCGUUGGCCAGGGCUAGCAACAAAAGAGUGCACCAAGUUGGGACAGGCCGAGAUGUCGGAAAUUAAGUGCGUGCUCUGUCCCGCGCUGAGGAAAAGUUAAGACGGAAGAUUUGAAGCCGCGGUCUUCCAAGAAUGCUCCUUGCUCGCAGUCAAUCGAUGUUGGAUGUCGUAACCGAAUAAUGCUUUAAACUGCCCAGUGGCAGGUUUUUUCGUUAUCCCAGGCCGCGCGGGUAGCGGUAAUGUGAAAGCACGCCCCUUACUUAAAUGGAUUCGAGCCAAUACCAAAUAUUUCGGGAUGUGGGCCAACUUUGCAAGUUUGAAGUCAAUUUAGCGGAAUGUUGCCGGGACGAAAUAUGUGGGCUCCAGUGCUUACACGUGGGUAGACCUUGAAUAUUUGCGUUAUUUUCCGAGAGGCCAGAAAGUUGUGCGACUGGCACAUGUGCGCUGGCAGAAUACUCGACGACUCUAAACUGUCUGGCUCUUUGCAUUUCCAGCCCAAUUGACUUUUAAUGGCUCUAUGGUGAUGCGAUGCGGCUGAAACAACAAACACAAGUUCGACUGCUUUUCGGAAAGCUAAAAGGGUUGAAAAAUAUUGAAGUAUGUAUGUAGCUUUUGGGUGAUAUAAAAAAGAAAGCCUCUUACUCAA